rnacentral:tRNA from 1 species
GCCUUGGUGGCACAACAGUUAAGCAUUUGGCUGCUAACCAAAGGGCUAGUGGUUUGAACCCACCCGGAGGCU